AGAGAGAGAGAGAGAAAGAGACAGAGAAAAUCCUCUAUUCCACGACCAUCAGCCACUAUUGUGAACACUGGUCUUCUUCACGCACUGACUGAAACAUCCUCGCCUGCUUUCUGCUUUCUGUCUGUUAUCAGUCAGAAGUCUAAGCCUGUCAGAAGGAGUCAGGAGAUGAGUGCCAGUCAGAAGUCUAAGCCUGUCAGAAGGAGUCAGGAGAUGAGUGCCAGUCAGAACAACGUUGACAGCAGCAGGAAGAAGACCAGUCUGCUGAAAGACAACAGCUGGAUCAGACGCAGCAUGGAGGAGGAGGAGGAGGAGCUAGUGGACCUGCAAUCGGAGGUGGGCCAGCCCAUCCCUGCCAGCCCGUCCCUGCCAGCCCGUCCCUGCCAGCCCGUCCCUGCCAGCCCCAGCAACCCAGUCAACCAUCUGACCAAGAGUCCUCCACUUCCUCCGAAGACCAAGACUGUGUCCUUCGUUUUAAGAAGCUCAUCACUGAAGAGCCCAUCCAUGUCCCUCUUUACUGCGAGGGUCUUUUCCUCCUCCAAAAAACUAUUCUGCUCCCCACUAAGCCCUCCAGAUGUACUCCCCUACGCCAUUACCCACAUCACUGAUGAAGAGCCCCCGGCAGGCCCAACAACUCUACCACCACCACCUCCUCCACCACCACCACCUCCUCCAACAACUCUACCACCACCACCUCCUCCAACAACUCUACCACCACCACCACCACCACCUCCAACAACUCUACCACCACCACCUCCUCCAACAACUCUACCACCACCACCUCCUCCAUCAACAACUCUACCACCACCACCUCCUCCAUCAACUCUACCACCACCACCACCUCCAACAACUCUACCACCACCACCUCCUCCAACAACUCUACCACCACCACCACCUCCUCCAACAACUCUACCACCACCACCUCCAACAACUCUACCACCACCACCUCCAACAACUCAACCACCACCACCACCACCAACAACUCUACCACCACCACCACCAACAACUCCAACCACCACCAACAACUCCACCACCACCAACAACUCCACCACCACCACCACCUCCAAUGCCCCAAGUUGUAAUCAGUGAGAUCAGCUUAGAGACCAGACUCCCUGACCCGCCCUCUCUGACUCCAACCCAGACUCUCCUCUCCAUACCUAACAGGAGUGUGACCAAGGGCCUGUGUUCAUACUGCUGUAAACCGAUGGUGGCUGGAGCCAACAUGAUCCUGGAGGAUCUACAGAUCUACAGCCACUCAUCCUGCUUCAAGUGUGAGGUGUGCCAUUGUCCUCUAGGAGACCUCCAUGUAGGAGACAGUAUGUGGCUCCACAGAGGGACAGUGCACUGUGAAGGCUGCUUCAGCACAGCCAGAGAGAAGGAUCUCCUCUAGGGAAGGAUGACAGAACGCUCAUGUCUCCACGGUAACAGACAGCUCAAAGAGACACAGCUUCAGAAGUCAGAAAAGGACACAGUGUUUUUACAUGGGUGGAUCUGGCGGUUGACGCAACAGGAAAUGACAUUUUAUAAUGUCAUCUGGAUCUAUAAUCUUCACAACAUCUCCUGCAAAUUAUUGUCACAUAUAGAAUCAUAUCCAAUGACCUGGAUGGAUUCUUUAUGUACUUCUCUAUUUAUCUAUUUUCAUGUAAUAUGACGAUUUGUUAAAUCACAUUACAAUAUAACCACCAACUGAUGUCAGCAUGUAGUCAUGUUUAUUAAAAUGGACAUCUUCA